UUUCCCUUGUUGUUAAAGAAGCAUGAGGGUUCCCCACUUCCCGCACCAUAUUUCCAAAAUUCUAUUCAUCAUUCACAAAUCACAAGUCCCAGAAAUUAUCAGAAAACAGACAAAUUAGAGGGAUUUUGUUGAAGAAAAAAACAGGAAGGAAACAUCCAAUUCCCAGAAACCCAAAUUAAAAAAUUUAAAAUUAUUGAAUAAAAAAAUGGGAUCAGAAACGAACUCGCCAACACCAUCCCCAAGUGGGAAGAGAAGCAGAGAUCCUGAAGAUGAAGUUUACAUUGACAAUCUUCAUUCUCAUAAGCGUUAUCUCAGUGAGAUGAUGGCAUCAAGCUUGAAUUGUUUGACAGUGGGAGACCCAAUUCCUGAUAAUUUGUUGGAUUCUCCGGCGAGGUCUGAUAGCAUGUUCUAUUCAAGAGAUGAGAUGUCCUUACAGUAUUCACCCAUGUCUGAAGACUUAGAUGAUGCACGAUAUUAUGAGACUCCCAUGAGUGCCUGCUCAUCUCAAUCUGAAAGUCGUCCUACUAGUCCUGUCUCUCCAUAUAGAUAUAAACCAGUCGGUGCGUUCUGUCCUAGUCCUCCUCCUAGCACCUCACAACCUGUAAAUGGAUGCAGUACCUUCUCAUCAGGUUCUUCUCAACCUCGACAGAGAGGUUCAGAUACCGAAGGAAGAUUCCCUUCUUCACCGAGUGAUAUAUGCCACUCAGGUGACUUAAGAAAAACGGCACUUUUACGAUCUGUACAGAUGAGAUCCCAGCCUUCGUGCUCAUCAACAUUUGAUCUAGGCCUAGGGUUUACUGCAGCUCAAGAGGUAAUGCAGAAUGUUGAAUCUGAAACUCGAUCCUGCUCAUUCUUGAAACCUUUGGAUGAUGAACGGGUGUACCAUGAUCAUGAUGAAGGAUGUCCUGUAAUGCCUUCUUCUGAGCCUAUAUUUGAUGAAGGAAAGGAUUCAAUGGGAUUGACUAUGAGCGAGGGAGAGAGAUCUGUGGAGUAGAUGUCAUGUGAAAUUGCUUUAUUGACGUCAAUGCUAGGUGUCUGAAGCAUUGCUUUAACCCGGAUCGAACGCGACCUGAAGUUACUUAGAGAAACCCGAACCCGACCUGAAUCGAACCCAAAUGACCUGAAAUCGACCCGAUUUGACCCAUUUAUCAUAUUUUGUAGUAAUAUUAAGUUUUACAAUAUUUCUAAUAUUUUUUCACACAACCCGAAGUCGACCCGAAACCAAACCCAAACCCAAACCUGACCCAUUGACCCGAACUGCCACCCCUAAUGUACGGGCCAUGUGUGAAAUUGUUAAGAUCGUUGGCGCAGAGUUAUUUACUAUGAGAUUGUUGGUGUAUAUAUCUAUCAGCUGACGACAUAUCUGAGACUCUCAAUGCUGGAACAAGUUGGUUACCGCACCCCUAGAUCCGAGUUAUAACAACAGCCUAGUAUCUAUUGCAUCAAGGUUUGAUCUGGAGACGUCCACAACUUUACAUCUACGCGGCUGAACACCUAGGUAAGAAGAAAUUCUUUGGGCUACCCUCGUACAGGGCCCAUCCAGAGGCCCAUUACAAGCCUUACACCCCCUCCCCCUCCCCCUCCCCCUCCCCCUCCCCAACUUAAAUCCCAAGCAAAUGUUUGGGGUAGGAAUCGAAUCCUAGACUAUGCUAGGGAAGAAGGGAAAGCUCACCAGUUGAGCCAACCCCAUAGGGAAAAUCUUAGACGUGUCGGUGUCUGGCUCUCAUGUAUAUAUAGACAACACGUGUUACAUAUACAAUUAUGGUAGUAAUACCACGAGGCACGGUCUUAUGCGCUACUGUGCUAUCCCUUGCAAGUCGUGCAUACAUGAAUCUAAGAAAUCCGGAGCAUAUUGGUGCACAAUCGUUCACAACCAGGAACGAUUGUGCUACCUCACUUGCACGAACGGUCGUGCAUGAAGUGUAGAUGCACGACCGUAUGCACAAUCGUGCUAUUGUUCAUCUGCGUUAUGGAUGCAACAAUUGGAUUCGAUCAUCUUCCAACAUUUCAAUUCAAGUCCAAUAUAAUUUCUUAUAUUUACUCUUUUAUUUACUUUACAUUUCAUUAAUACUACAUCCGUUUCAAAAUGGUCAAGAGCCAAGGAGAAAUUAACGACCCAAAUUUUUGUCAAUGACAUUGGGGUUUUUGUUAAUUCUUUCGCAUUUUGCAAUUGUGUUUUUCGGUUUAUGACUUUUCACUUAUAUUUUAAUUCUUUUUUUUUUAAUCUUAUAUAUCACUCACCUUUUUAUGCA